GACGUAGGGCGCGAGCGUUGUCCGGAUUUAUUGGGCGUAAAGAGCUCGUAGGCGGCUCGUUGCGUCGGCUGUGAAAACCCGCAGCUCAACUGUGGGCUUGCAGCCGAUACGGGCGGGCUGGAGUUCGGUAGGGGAGGCUGGAAUUCCUGGUGUAGCGGUGAAAUGCGCAGAUAUCAGGAGGAACACCGGUGGCGAAGGCGGGUCUCUGGGCCGAUACUGACGCUGAGGAGCGAAAGCCAGGGGAGCAAACGGG
rnacentral:rRNA from 1 species